GACGAACGCUGGCGGCGUGCUUAACACAUGCAAGUCGAACGGACAGGCCCUGCUUUUGUGGGGUUCUCGAGUGGCGCACGGGUGAGUAACACGUGAGUAUCCUGCCCUUGUCUUUGGGAUAACUUCACGAAACUGGGGCUCAUACCGGGUAGGAGCUCCUGCUCCAUGGUGGGGGUUGGUAAGUUUCGGCGGUUGGGGAUCGACUCGCGGCAUAUCAGCUUGUUGGUGGGGUAGUGGCUUACCAAGGCUUUGACGGGUAGCCGGCCUGAGAGGGUGACCGGCCACAAUGGGACUGAGAUACGGCGCAGACUCCUACGGGAGGCAGCAGGCGGGAACAUUGCACAAUGAGCGGAAGCCUGAUGCAGCAACGCCGCGUGCGGGAUGACGGCCUACGGGUUGUAAACCGCUUUCGCAGGUGACGAAGAGUGAGUGACGGUAAUGAGUAAAGAAGCACCGGCUAACUACGUG
rnacentral:rRNA from 1 species